UGGGGAAUCUUGCACAAUGGGCGCAAGCCUGUUGCAGCAACUCCGCGUGAGUGAAGAAGGCUCUUGGGUCGUAAAGCUCUUUCGACAGGGAAGAAGGGAGAUUAGGUAAAUAAUCUAAUUUUUGACGGUACCUGCAUAAGAAGCACCGGCUAACUCCGUGCCAGCAGCCGCGGUAAUACGGAGGGUGCAAGCGUUGUUCGGAAUAACUGGGCGUAAAGCGCACGUAGGCGGAUGUGUAAGUCGAUUGUGAAAUCCCCGGGCUCAACCCGGGAACUGCAGUCGAAACUACAUGUCUUGAAUGCUUGAGAGGGUAGUGGAAUUCCAGGUGUAGAAGUGAAAUUCGUAGAUAUCUGGAGGAACAUCGGAGGCGAAGGCGACUGCCUGGCAAUGCAUUGACGCUGAGGUGCGAAAGCGUGGGGAGCAAACAGGAUUAGAUACCCCGGUAGUCC
rnacentral:rRNA from 1 species